CAGCCGCCGCGGUAAUACGUAGGGUGCGAGCGUUAAUCGGAAUUACUGGGCGUAAAGCGUGCGCAGGCGGUUUUGUAAGUCAGGUGUGAAAUCCCCGGGCUUAACCUGGGAACUGCGCUUGUGACUGCACAGCUAGAGUAUGGCAGAGGGGGGUAGAAUUCCACGUGUAGCAGUGAAAUGCGUAGAGAUCUGGAGGAACACCGAUGGCGAAGGCAGCCCCCUGGGCAAAUACUGACGCUCAUGCACGAAAGCGUGGGGAGCAAACAGGAUUAGAUACCCCCGUAGUCCCUGUCUCUUAUAC
rnacentral:rRNA from 1 species